rnacentral:rRNA from 1 species
AGUGAACGCUGGCGGUAGGCCUAACACAUGCAAGUCGAACGGCAGCACAGUAAGAGCUUGCUCUUACGGGUGGCGAGUGGCGGACGGGUGAGGAAUACAUCGGAAUCUACUCUUUCGUGGGGGUUAACGUAGGGAAACUUACGCUAAUACCGCAUACGACCUACGGGUGAAAGCAGGGGAUCUUCGGACCUUGCGCGAUUGAAUGAGCCGAUGUCGGAUUAGCUAGUUGGCGGGGUAAAGGCCCACCAAGUCGAGGAUCCGUAGCCGGUCUGAGAGGAGGGUCGGCCACACUGGAAGUGAGACACGGUCCAGACUCCUGCGGGAGGCAGCAGUGGGGAAUAUUGGACAAUGGGCGCAAGCCUGAUCCAGCCAUACCGCGUGGGUGAAGAAGGCCUUCGGGUUGUAAAGCCCUUUUGUUGGGAAAGAAAAGCAGCAGGUUAAUACCCCGCUGUUCUGACGGUACCCAAAGAAUAAGCACCGGCUAACUUCGUG